AGUGAACGCUGGCGGUAGGCCUAACACAUGCAAGUCGAACGGCAGCACAGUAAGAGCUUGCUCUUACGGGUGGCGAGUGGCGGACGGGUGAGGAAUACAUCGGAAUCUACUUUUUCGUGGGGGAUAACGUAGGGAAACUUACGCUAAUACCGCAUACGACCUACGGGUGAAAGCAGGGGAUCUUCGGACCUUGCGCGAUUGAAUGAGCCGAUGUCGGAUUAGCUAGUUGGCGGGGUAAAGGCCCACCAAGGCGACGAUCCGUAGCUGGUCUGAGAGGAUGAUCAGCCACACUGGAACUGAGACAAGGUCCAGACUCCUACGGGAGGCAGCAGUGGGGAAUAUUGGACAAUGGGCGCAAGCCUGAUCCAGCCAUACCGCGUGGGUGAAGAAGGACUUCGGGUUGUAAAGCCCUUUUGUUGGGAAAGAAAAGCAGCAGGUUAAUACCCCGCUGUUCUGACGGUACCCAAAGAAUAAGCACCGGCUAACUUCGUG
rnacentral:rRNA from 1 species